rnacentral:misc_RNA from 1 species
GCUUGCAGAAAGAACUUUCAUGGUAUUAAGGAUCUUUUUUGAGCCAUUUAAUUUGUGCAUGGAAUUUUAUUUUAUUUUUACAAAGAAAUUGAUAUGAUUUAUUUUUUUUCAUCUAAAUGGUGAAUUCAAUAACUUUGUGAUAUCAUUUUUUUUUCAAAUGUUGUCAUUAACAUGAAAAUAAUAGAAAACUACAUAGACAGUAGGCACACACAUAACUAACAGUAUAUCAUUCUUUUUGAGCUCAAAGAAGUAAAUGAAGAAAUUAGGUUUUAGAGGUAUAAAAAGGUAUAACACAUGGAUUAUGGAGGUAGGGUCUGCUCAACAGCAAGCAAACAUGAACAUAUCGAGAUAAAACAAAAAGAACCCAAAAUUCUUUUUUUUUUCCCACUUUUAUAGGGAUUGAUUUUUUUUAUUAUAUUUUUUUUACAAUUGCUGCGAAAUAGAUACAUAUAUGGAGAACGUAAUUCUUUUUUACUAUAAAUGUUUCGGAAAAAAAUAUAUAUUUACCUGCCAUGGUUUUAAAUCACAGUCACAGAUGCGGGUAACGGAAUUGGCCUGUAAUGGCCCAAAUGUAACGGUAACGGCUUGGCGCUAUGCAAUUUUUUUUGAAAAAUUUGCAAAAUUUGUAAAAUAACUAUAUAUUGAUAGAUAUAAGUA